GGUCUUACUCCACCAAAUGAAAAUUACUGAUUGCCAAAUGUUAGAAGAAAUCAUAGCUUCUACAAGUGAUGAAGUGAUGGAUGGCAUUAUUUUCUCCAGCCUUUGGUAUUUAGAACUUGGUGGUCUUCCGAGCCUAUCAAGGUUCUGUUCAGGGAAUUAUACGCUUGGAUUCCCUUCCUUGGAAAAGGUAAUCAUGAGACAAUGUCCAAAGAUGGAAAUAUUUUCUAAGAGAGAGUUAAGCACAUCAAAGCUGAAAGGAGUACAAUCAACUGAAGGUGAAUAUGUAGGACGUUGGGAAGGCAACCUUAAUGCCACUAUUCAGCAGUUGUUUAUAGAAAAGAAUGACCAAAAUUGUGAAGAAGAGACUGCAGUUUCCUUUUAGUUGCCCAAACUGGAACAAGGCAAGAUAUUGUUGUACUUGUGAGACACUUAAAGGCUCAUUUUCCUUCUAUCAAAGUUGGAAAUCAGAAGGUUGAAUUGCUCUACUUAGUAUGAUGAUUUUGCUGAGUUGACAGCCACCUUCCUUUGAAUCCAAAUGGUUCUCAUUUUCUAGUUUUCAUAUGUAACUUAAAUUGUCAGUAUUGAAUAUUUAGGAGCAUGGAACUGUAAAUAUGCGAGGAUGUAAUCUUUUGUUUGUAAGGUCCAUCAGCCAAGUCUCCCUUGUUUCAAUAACCUCGAAAGAAAUGUACAUUUUCCAUCGACAUCUUAAAAUCUCACCUUAUUUACAUUUCAAUCAUAUAAAUGAAAGUACAUCCUUUUGCUGAUAA